AUAUUCGGAACAUCUUCUUCAGAAGAUGCGGAAUAACGUGACAUAUUGUAUUCAGUUUUGAAUGUUUAUUUAACAUUCAAAUAUUUUUUGGUUAAAGUGAUAUUCCUUUUGAAAAUAAAGCAGUAUGCGAGCGCUUGACUAAAAAGAAAUUGUACAUUGAAAACUAGAUAAGUAAGUAAAAUAUAGAUUUUACCAAGCAAAACCGAGUGAAUAAAGAGUUUUAAAUAAGCUUGAAUUCAUAAGAAAUAAUCGCUAGUGUUCGAAAGAACACUCACAAGAUUAAUAACGCGUUUNNNNNNNNGUGGUUUAAUUCGAAGCAACGCGAAGAACCUUACCAAAUCUUGACAUCCUUUGACAACUCUAGAGAUAGAGCCUUCCCCUUCGGGGGACAAAGUGACAGGUGGUGCAUGGUUGUCGUCAGCUCGUGUCGUGAGAUGUUGGGUUAAGUCCCGCAACGAGCGCAACCCUUAAGCUUAGUUGCCAUCAUUAAGUUGGGCACUCUAAGUUGACUGCCGGUGACAAACCGGAGGAAGGUGGGGAUGACGUCAAAUCAUCAUGCCCCUUAUGAUUUGGGCUACACACGUGCUACAAUGGACAAUACAAAGGGCAGCGAAACCGCGAGGUCAAGCAAAUCCCAUAAAGUUGUUCUCAGUUCGGAUUGUAGUCUGCAACUCGACUACAUGAAGCUGGAAUCGCUAGUAAUCGUAGAUCAGCAUGCUACGGUGAAUACGUUCCCGGGUCUUGUACACACCGCCCGUCACACCACGAGAGUUUGUAACACCCGAAGCCGGUGGAGUAACCUUUUAGGAGCUAGCCGUCGAAGGUGGGACAAAUGAUUGGGGUGAAGUCGUAACAAGGUAGCCGUAUCGGAAGGUGCGGCUG
rnacentral:rRNA from 1 species